UUUAUGGAGAGUUUGAUCCUGGCUCAGGAUGAACGCUGGCGGCGUGCCUAAUACAUGCAAGUCGAGCGAACGGACGAGAAGCUUGCUUCUCUGAUGUUAGCGGCGGACGGGUGAGUAACACGUGGAUAACCUACCUAUAAGACUGGGAUAACUUCGGGAAACCGGAGCUAAUACCGGAUAAUAUUUUGAACCGCAUGGUUCAAAAGUGAAAGACGGUCUUGCUGUCACUUAUAGAUGGAUCCGCGCUGCAUUAGCUAGUUGGUAAGGUAACGGCUUACCAAGGCAACGAUGCAUAGCCGACCUGAGAGGGUGAUCGGCCACACUGGAACUGAGACACGGUCCAGACUCCUACGGGAGGCAGCAGUAGGGAAUCUUCCGCAAUGGGCGAAAGCCUGACGGAGCAACGCCGCGUGAGUGAUGAAGGUCUUCGGAUCGUAAAACUCUGUUAUUAGGGAAGAACAUAUGUGUAAGUAACUGUGCACAUCUUGACGGUACCUAAUCAGAAAGCCACGGCUAACUACGUGCCAGCAGCCGCGGUAAUACGUAGGUGGCAAGCGUUAUCCGGAAUUAUUGGGCGUAAAGCGCGCGUAGGCGGUUUUUUAAGUCUGAUGUGAAAGCCCACGGCUCAACCGUGGAGGGUCAUUGGAAACUGGAAAACUUGAGUGCAGAAGAGGAAAGUGGAAUUCCAUGUGUAGCGGUGAAAUGCGCAGAGAUAUGGAGGAACACCAGUGGCGAAGGCGACUUUCUGGUCUGUAACUGACGCUGAUGUGCGAAAGCGUGGGGAUCAAACAGGAUUAGAUACC
rnacentral:rRNA from 1 species